rnacentral:rRNA from 1 species
GGUUAAGUGACUAAGCGUACACGGUGGAUGCCUUGGCAGUCAGAGGCGAUGAAGGACGUAUUAACUUGCGAUAAGCCCAGAUUAGGUAGUAAAAACCAUUUGAGUCUGGGAUUUCCGAAUGGGGAAACCCAAUACCAUAAGGUAUUACUGUUGAGUGAAUACAUAGCUCAACAGGGCGAACCGGGGGAACUGAAACAUCUAAGUACCCCGAGGAAAAGAAAUCAACCGAGAUUCCGAAAGUAGCGGCGAGCGAAAUUGGACUAGCCCUUAAGCUUUACACGCGUUAGACGAACAGCCUGGAAAGGCCGACGAUACAGGGUGAUAGUCCCGUAGUUGACGACGUGUGUUCAGUGAAAUCGAGUAGGGCGGGACACGUGAUAUCCUGUCUGAAUAUGGGGGGACCAUCCUCCAAGGCUAAAUACUACUGACUGACCGAUAGUGAACCAGUACCGUGAGGGAAAGGCGAAAAGAACCCCUGUGAGGGGAGUGAAAUAGAACCUGAAACCGUGUACGUACAAGCAGUAGGAGCAGGCUUUGUCCUGUGACUGCGUACCUUUUGUAUAAUGGGUCAGCGACUUAUAUUCAGUGGCAAGGUUAACCAUCUAGGGGAGCCGUAGGGAAACCGAGUCUUAACUGGGCGUUCAGUCUCUGGAUAUAGACCCGAAACCAGGUGAUCUAGCCAUGGGCAGGUUGAAGGUUGAGUAACAUCAACUGGAGGACCGAACCGACUAAUGUUGAAAAAUUAGCGGAUGACUUGUGGCUAGGGGUGAAAGGCCAAUCAAACCUGGAGAUAGCUGGUUCUCCCCGAAAGCUAUUUAGGUAGCGCCUCGGACGAAUACUACUGGGGGUAGAGCACUGUUAAGGCUAGGGGGUCAUCCCGACUUACCAACCCUUUGCAAACUCCGAAUACCAGUAAGUACUAUCCGGGAGACACACGGCGGGUGCUAACGUCCGUCGUGGAGAGGGAAACAACCCAGACCGCCAGCUAAGGUCCCAAAUUACUACUAAGUGGGAAACGAUGUGGGAAGGCUCAGACAGCCAGGAUGUUGGCUUAGAAGCAGCCAUCAUUUAAAGAAAGCGUAAUAGCUCACUGGUCGAGUCGGCCUGCGCGGAAGAUGUAACGGGGCUAAGUAGUAAACCGAAGCUGCGGCAAUAUACUUUUGUAUAUUGGGUAGGGGAGCGUUCUGUAAGCGGUUGAAGGUGUGUGGUAACGCAUGCUGGACGUAUCAGAAGUGCGAAUGCUGACAUGAGUAACGAUAAAGGGGGUGAAAAACCUCCUCGCCGGAAGACCAAGGGUUCCUGUCCAACGUUAAUCGGGGCAGGGUAAGUCGACCCCUAAGGCGAGGCCGAAAGGCGUAGUCGAUGGGAAACGGGUUAAUAUUCCCGUACUUCUUACAAUUGCGAUGGGGGGACGGAGAAGGCUAGGUGGGCCUGGCGACGGUUGUCCAGGUUCAAGUGCGUAGGCUGAGAAAUUAGGUAAAUCCGGUUUCUCUUAAGGCUGAGACACGACGUCGAGCAUCUACGGAUGUGAAGUCAUUGAUGCCAUGCUUCCAGGAAAAGCCUCUAAGCUUCAGAUUGUAAGGAAUCGUACCCCAAACCGACACAGGUGGUCGGGUAGAGAAUACCAAGGCGCUUGAGAGAACUCGGGUGAAGGAACUAGGCAAAAUGGUACCGUAACUUCGGGAGAAGGUACGCUCUCGACGGUGAAGUCCCUUGCGGAUGGAGCUAUUGAGAGUCGCAGAUACCAGGUGGCUGCAACUGUUUAUUAAAAACACAGCACUGUGCAAAAUCGCAAGAUGACGUAUACGGUGUGACGCCUGCCCGGUGCCGGAAGGUUAAUUGAUGGGGUUAGACUUCGGUCGAAGCUCUUGAUCGAAGCCCCGGUAAACGGCGGCCGUAACUAUAACGGUCCUAAGGUAGCGAAAUUCCUUGUCGGGUAAGUUCCGACCUGCACGAAUGGCGUAAUGAUGGCCACGCUGUCUCCACCCGAGACUCAGUGAAAUUGAAAUCGCUGUGAAGAUGCAGUGUACCCGCGGCUAGACGGAAAGACCCCGUGAACCUUUACUACAGCUUGGCACUGAACAUUGACCCUACAUGUGUAGGAUAGGUGGGAGGCUUUGAAGCGCAGUCGCUAGAUUGCGUGGAGCCGUCCUUGAAAUACCACCCUUGUAGUGUUGAUGUUCUAACGU